rnacentral:rRNA from 1 species
AGAGUUUGAUCCUGGCUCAGAUUGAACGCUAGCGGCAUGCUUAACACAUGCAAGUCGAACGGUAACAGUUCUGGGUAACCAGAAGCUGACGAGUGGCGGACGGGUGAGUAACGCGUAGGAAUCUACCUUUUAGUGGGGAAUAACCUGGGGAAACCCAGGCUAAUACCGCAUAAUGCCUAAGGGGGAAAGCAUGGGACCGA